rnacentral:rRNA from 1 species
GACUCUCGGCAACGGAUAUCUCGGCUCUCGCAUCGAUGAAGAACGUAGCGAAAUGCGAUACCUGGUGUGAAUUGCAGAAUCCCGCGAACCAUCGAGUCUUUGAACGCAAGUUGCGCCCGAGGCCACUCGGCCGAGCGCACGCCUGCCUGGGCGUCA